rnacentral:tRNA from 1 species
GGGUUAAUAUUUUAAUUAAAAAGUUUAGUUUGCUUCUAAAAAAUGUCUUUGGACUUUUCCUU